UACAGAGGUCUCAAGCGUUGUUCGGAUUCAUUGGGCGUAAAGGGUGCGUAGGCGGCGCGGUAAGUCGGGUGUGAAAUCUCGGAGCUUAACUCCGAAACUGCAUUCGAUACUGCCGUGCUUGAGGACUGGAGAGGAGACUGGAAUUUACGGUGUAGCGGUGAAAUGCGUAGAUAUCGUAAGGAAGACCAGUGGCGAAGGCGGGUCUCUGGACAGUUACUGACACUCAACUACGAAAGCGUGGGGAGCAAACAGG
rnacentral:rRNA from 1 species